CUUUUAAUUAUGUGAUUUUAAUGAUGUUUUAGGUUUUUUAAAUUUUUAUGUUUUUUUUUUGUGUUUUUAAAUUUUUAUGUAUUUUUUUUUUAUGUUUUAAGUAAUUUUAAAUUUUAUGUUUAAUCCAGUAUUUAAAUAUGCAAUUUAAAUUAUGCAAUAAAAUUUAAAUGAAAAACAUAAAAUCAAAACUAAUAUUAUCAAGUAGGCUAUCAAGGAACCCCAAUGCAGCACUACCUACUCAAUAACACAAAUACUAUCAAGUAGGCUAUCAAGGAGGUUCCAAUGCG
rnacentral:lncRNA from 1 species